rnacentral:rRNA from 1 species
UACGAAGGGGGCUAGCGUUGUUCGGAAUUACUGGGCGUAAAGGGCGCGUAGGCGGUGUGUCAAGUCGGGCGUGAAAGCCCCGGGCUCAACCUGGGAACCGCGCUUGAGACUGGCACGCUCGAGUUCGGGAGAGGAUGGUGGAAUUCCCAGUGUAGAGGUGAAAUUCGUAGAUAUUGGGAAGAACACCGAUGGCGAAGGCAGCCAUCUGGACCGACACUGACGCUGAGGCGCGAAAGCGUGGGGAGCGAACCGG